rnacentral:misc_RNA from 1 species
GUGAAUCAUCGAAUCUUUGAACGCAAAUUGCACCCUCCCCGGAGAGUAUGCCUGUUUGUGGGUCAGCCUAUAAAAAAUCGACAUCGUUGCUGUUUCGCGGUGGCGUUCGUCUGAAAUUGGGACAUCUUAAAUCCUUUUGAUUUCCGCGACUUAGAAUUUUCUUUUGGUUCCGUGAACGUUUCUAAGAUCUUUUUCUUUACACGUUUACGGUAUC